rnacentral:rRNA from 1 species
UACAGAGGGGGGCAAGCGUUAUUCGGAAUUAUUGGGCGUAAAGGGCGCGUAGGCGGCCGUGCAAGUGGAUGGUGAAAUCCCCGGGGCUUAACCUGGGAACUGCCGUCCAAACUGCUUGGCUUGAGUCCGGGAGAGGUGAGUGGAAUCCCCAGUGUAGAGGUGAAAUUCGUAGAUAUUGGGAAGAACACCGGUGGCGAAGGCGG